rnacentral:rRNA from 1 species
GAUGAACGCUGGCGGCGUGCCUAAUACAUGCAAGUCGAGCGAACAGAUGAGGAGCUUGCUCCUCUGACGUUAGCGGCGGACGGGUGAGUAACACGUGGAUAACCUACCUAUAAGACUGGGAUAACUUCGGGAAACCGGAGCUAAUACCGGAUAAUAUAUUGAACCGCAUGGUUCAAUAGUGAAAGACGGUUUUGCUGUCACUUAUAGAUGGAUCCGCGCCGCAUUAGCUAGCUGGUAAGGUAACGGCUUACCAAGGCGACGAUGCGUAGCCGACCUGAGAGGGUGAUCGGCCACACUGGAACUGAGACACGGUCCAGACUCCUACGGGAGGCAGCAGUAGGGAAUCUUCCGCAAUGGGCGAAAGCCUGACGGAGCAACGCCGCGUGAGUGAUGAAGGUCUUCGGAUCGUAAAACUCUGUUAUUAGGGAAGAACAAAUGUCUAAGUAACUAUGCACGUCUUGACGGUACCUAAUCAGAAAGCCACGGCUAACUACGUG